UUCGAGACUAGGACGUUGAUAGGCAGGGUGUGUAAGCGUUGUGAGGCGUUGAGCUAACCUGUACUAAUGACUCGUGAGGCUUAACCAU
rnacentral:rRNA from 1 species